rnacentral:rRNA from 1 species
GAUGAACGCUAGCGGCAGGCUUAACACAUGCAAGUCGAGGGGCAGCACAGGUAGCAAUACUGGGUGGCGACCGGCAAACGGGUGCGGAACACGUACGCAACUUACCCUAAACAGAUGAAUAGCCCUCGGAAACGGGGAUUAAUACAUCGUAAACUAUAAGAGUGGCAUCAUUUUUAUAGAAUAGCUGAGGCGGUUUAGGAUGGGCGUGCGUCCCAUUAGCUAGUUGGUAAGGUAACGGCUUACCAAGGCGACGAUGGGUAACUGGUGUGAGAGCACGACCAGUCAAACGGGCACGAGGACACGGGCCCGACUCCUACGGGAGGCAGCAGUGAGGAGUAUUGGUGAAUGGACGCAAGGCUGAACCAGCCAUGCCGCGUGAAGGAUGAAGGCGUUCUGCGUUGUAAACUUCUUUUAUCAGGGAAGAAACCUCAGUAUUCUUAUUGAGCCGACGGUACCUGAUGAAUAAGCACCGGCUAACUCCGUGCCAGCCGCCGCCGUAAUAC